rnacentral:rRNA from 1 species
UACGAAGGUCCCAAGCGUUGCUCGGAAUCAUUGGGCGUAAAGCGGGUGCGGGUGGCUUUGUAAGUCAGGAGUGAAAGCCCAGGGCUCAACCCUGGAAGUGCUUUUGAAACUGCGAAGCUUGAGUGUGAGAGAGGAUACUGGAAUUCCUGGUGUAGUGGUGAAAUACGUAGAGAUCAGGAGGAACCCCGGUGGCGAAGGCGGGUAUCUGGCUCAACACUGACACUUAGACCCGAAAGCGUGGGGAUCAAACAGG